rnacentral:rRNA from 1 species
UACGUAGGUGGCUAGCGUUGUCCGGAUUUACUGGGCGUAAAGAGCGCGCAGGCGGUCGUUCAAGUCGAGUGUGAAAGCCCCCGGCUCAACUGGGGAGGGUCACUCGAUACUGAUCGACUCGAAGGCAGGAGAGGGAAGCGGAAUUCCCGGUGUAGUGGUGAAGUGCGUAGAUAUCGGGAGGAACACCAGUGGCGAAGGCGGCUUUCUGGCCUGCUCUUGACGCUGAGGCGCGAAAGCUAGGGUAGCAAACGGG